UACGAAGGGUGCAAGCGUUGUUCGGAAUCACUGGGCGUAAAGGGCGCGUAGGCGGGAUGGCAAGUCGGUCGUGAAAUCCCUCGGCUCAACUGAGGAUCGUCGAUCGAUACUGCUGUUCUUGAGGAUUGCAGAGGAGACUGGAAUUCCCGGUGUAGCGGUGAAAUGCGUAGAGAUCAGGAAGAACAUCGGUGGCGAAGGCGCUCUGCUGGACCAUAACUGACACUCAGGGACGAAAGCUAGGGGAGCGAAUGGG
rnacentral:rRNA from 1 species